GACGAACGCUGGCGGCGUGCUUAACACAUGCAAGUCGAACGGGCCCGCUCUCUUUUUUGGGGGUGGGUUGAGUGGCGAACGGGUGAGUAUCACGUGAGUAACCUGCCCCCUGCUCCUGGAUAACUGCUUGAAAGGGCGGCUAAUACGGGGUGUGCCGGCUGGUCCGCAUGGGCCUGGUCGGGAUAGUUUCAUCUUCGGGUGUUUCGGUGGGGGAUGGGCUCGCGGCCUGUCAGCUUGUUGGUGGGGUGAUGGCCCACCAAGGCGGUGACGGGUAGCCGGGCUGAGAGGGUGGGCGGCCACACUGGGACUGAGACACGGCCCAGGCUCCUGCGGGAGGCAGCAGUGGGGGGUAUUGCACAAUGGGCGGAAGCCUGAUGCAGCGACGUCGCGUGAGGGAUGGAGGCCUUCGGGUUGUGAGCCUCUUGCUCCGGUGGUGAAGGCCCUGUCCGUUGCGGCGGGGUUGACGGUAGCCGGGUAUGAAGCGCCGGCUAACUACGUG
rnacentral:rRNA from 1 species